rnacentral:rRNA from 1 species
AGAAGACCAACAGGGAUUGCCUCAGUAACGGCGAGUGAAGCGGCAACAGCUCAAAUUUGAAAUCUGGCCCUUUCAGGGUCCGAGUUGUAAUUUGCAGAGGGUGCUUUGGCGUCGGCCGUGGUCUAAGUUCCUUGGAACAGGACGUCACAGAGGGUGAGAAUCCCGUACGUGGCCGCCGGUCUUCGCCGUGUAAAGCCCCUUCGACGAGUCGAGUUGUUUGGGAAUGCAGCUCUAAAUGGGAGAUAAAUUUCUUCUAAAGCUAAAUAUUGGCCAGAGACCGAUAGCGCACAAGUAGAGUGAUCGAAAGAUGAAAAGCACUUUGGAAAGAGAGUCAAAAAGCACGUGAAAUUGUUGAAAGGGAAGCGCUUGCAGCCAGACGUGCCCGCAGUUGCUCACCUAGGCUUUUGCCUGGGGCAUUCUUCUGCGGGCAGGCCAGCAUCAGUUCGGACGGUUGGAUAAAGGCCUCUGUCACGUAUCUUCCUUCGGGAUGACCUUAUAGGGGAGGCGCAACACGACCAGUCUGAACUGAGGACCGCGCAUCAGCUAGGAUGCUGGCGUAAUGGCUGUAAGCGGCCCGUCUUGAAACACGGACCAAGGAGUCUAACAUCUAUGCGAGUGUUUGGGUGUAAAGCCCGGGCGCGCAAUGAAAGUGAACGGAGGUAGGAACCCCUCGGGGUGCACUAUCGACCGAUCCUGAAGUCUUCGGAUGGAUUUGAGUAAGAGCAUAGCUGUUGGGACCCGAAAGAUGGUGAACUAUGCCUGAAUAGGGUGAAGCCAGGGGAAACCCUGGUGGAGGCUCGCAGCGGUUCUGACGUGCAAAUCGAUCGUCAAAUUUGGGCAUAGGGGCGAAAGACUAAUC